rnacentral:rRNA from 1 species
GAUGAACGCUGGCGGCGUGCCUAAUACAUGCCAGUCGAGCGAACAGAUGAGGAGCUUGCUCCUCUGACGUUAGCGGCGGACGGGUGAGUAACACGUGGAUAACCUACCUAUAAGACUGGGAUAACUUCGGGAAACCGGAGCUAAUACCGGAUAAUAUAUUGCACCGCAUGGUUCAAUAGUGAAAGACGGUUUUGCUGUCACUUAUAGAUGGAUCCGCGCCGCAUUAGCUAGUUGGUAAGGUAACUGCUUACCAAGGCAACGAUGCGUAGACGACCUGAGAGGGUGAUCGGCCACCCGGUAACUGAGACACGGUCCAGACUCCGACGGGAGGCAGCAGUAGGGAAUCUUCCGCGAGGGGGGAGAGGUGGACGUAGCAACGCCGGCGGAGGGAUGAAGGUCUUCGGAUCGGAAAGCGCUGUUAUUAGGGAGGAUCAAAUGUGUAAGUAACUAUGCACGUCUUGACGGUACCGAAUCAGAAAGCCACGGCUAACUACGUG